AGUGAACGCUGGCGGCGUGCUUAACACAUGCAAGUCGAACGAGAACGGAUUAUAGCUUGCUAUAAUUGUCAGCUAAGUGGCGCACGGGUGAGUAAUGUAUAGGUAAUAUGCCUCUUACUAAGGGAUAACAAAUGGAAACGUUUGCUAAUACCUUAUACUCCUUAUUAACAGAAGUUAAUAAGGGAAAGAUUUAUUGGUAAGAGAUUAGCCUGUAUUGUAUCAGUUAGUUGGUGGGGUAAUGGCUUACCAAGACUAUGACACAUAACUGGUUUGAGAGGAUGAUCAGUCACACUGGAACUGAGAAACGGUCCAGACUCCUACGGGAGGCAGCAGUGGGGAAUAUUGCACAAUGGACGAAAGUCUGAUGCAGCAACGCCGCGUGGAAGAUGACACAUUUCGGUGCGUAAACUCCUUUUAUAUGAGAAGAUAAUGACGGUAUUAUAUGAAUAAGCACCGGCUAACUCCGUGCCAGCAGCCGCCGUAA
rnacentral:rRNA from 1 species